rnacentral:rRNA from 1 species
AAUGAACGCUGGCGGCAGGCCUAACACAUGCAAGUCGAACGGAUCCUUCGGGAUUAGUGGCGGACGGGUGAGUAACGCGUGGGAACAUACCCUUUGGUACGGAAUAGCCUCGGAAAACUGGGAGUAAUACCGUAUGUGGUCGAGAGACGAAAGAUUUAUCGCCAAAGGAUUGGCCCGCGUUGGAUUAGGUAGUUGGUGGGGUAAUGGCCUGCCAAGCCGACGAUCCAUAGCUGGUUUGAGAGGAUGAUCAGCCACACUGGGACUGAGACACGGCCCAGACUCCUACGGGAGGCAGCAGUGGGGAAUCUUAGACAAUGGGGGAAACCCUGAUCUAGCCAUGCCGCGUGAUCGAUGAAGGCCUUAGGGUUGUAAAGAUCUUUCAGGUGGGAAGAUAAUGACUGUACCACCAGAAGAAGCCCCGGCUAACUCCGUGCCAGCCGCCGCAGUAA